rnacentral:rRNA from 1 species
UACGUAGGGAGCGAGCGUUGUCCGGAUUUAUUGGGCGUAAAGAGCUCGUAGGCGGUUUGGUAAGUCGGGUGUGAAACCUCCAGGCUCAACCUGGAGCCGCCACUCGAUACUGCCAUGACUUGAGUCUGGUAGGGGACCACGGAAUUCCUGGUGUAGCGGUGAAAUGCGCAGAUAUCAGGAGGAACACCGGUGGCGAAGGCGGUGGUCUGGGCCAGUACUGACGCUGAGGAGCGAAAGCGUGGGGAGCGAACAGG